GAGGAGGAAGGAAGGGACAUAAGGGAUACUAUGGUGAUAUAAGAAACAGAAAAUAUCAAUAAAACUUACUGGAAAAAAAUAGGGGCUUCUCAUUUGGCUAUUUGACUUCCUUUGGUGCUAGGUUCAUUGCUUCACUAAAUGAUCUCUUGGUUUUUAAGGUUGGCUGGUCAGACACACUGAUUAAAUGAUGCCAUGUGACCACAAUUACUCCAUUUACCAGCAGUACCAGAGCUCAGAAGGGGAGGCUUACUUGUAUGAUAACCACACAGUAGAGACUUGAAAAAUUUGAGUGUCCUACACUUAGGCAAAUACAUCUGUCUAGUUAAGUAAAAGUUUGUGUGCAGGUUUUGAUGACUCUGUCCUGGCAUGAUGAUUUGCAUUUGUGGUGAUACCUUGUCUUGCAUGUUUUCAGAAGAAAAGCAGAAAGGAAGCUGAAAAAUUCCCUGGGAUAGAAGUGAUGACAUUAAGACCAAAAUUGAUUUCCAAUGCCGUUUCUUCCUCAAUGCUAUGACUUAAAACGUCAAGACUCAGUCUAGAGAUGAUCAUAAUAAAAGAUCCCUAGGUUUCAGAUCUGGAUAUCAUAAAGGAAAAAAAUGUACGUCCAGAGAAGGAGGUGGGCUAACUAUGUGGUACAAAUGAGGAGGUAACAAAUGGUUGGCCAAAGGUGCUGCACCGGGACCUACUCAAUGUCCAGCACAGUGGGUAAAAUUUCUUUGGAAGGCUUAUGGAAAAUACAUACAGGAACAGCACAAGAUGAGGUGGUGUGAAUGAGUUAGGUCACACCAGAAAAUGGACACGAUGAAAUCAUGGAUCCAAUGUUGUCUUCUCAGACUUUAACUAAAUACAUGAGGGUAUUCUGCUUUGCCCACGUGGGAUCUUUGUGCUCCUAACACUCAUGCUUUGUCAUCUGCUUCUAUCAUUUCAAGCAGCUCAUUAGUUAUUCAUCCUUUGGAACUUACAUCCUGUCUCAUUCCCACUGACCACAUAAAUCUGACUUACCCUUUCAUGAAGGAAAUACCCAUAUUUUGCUUUAUGGCAUGUGUUCUAAUAUUAUGUUGCUAUGACUUGUCUUCUAGUAGAGACAGGCUGCUUUGUCUGGCCACAGACUCAAUAAUUCCCAAGACCUUGCCCCCAAACAUCUAGAAUCUUUGUUUACUUGCUAUGGAAAUUUAGAUAAAUUAAAACAGGGAAAGGCCAUUUGGUAUCAUGUUUGCUCCACCACAGGCAAUAGUCCAUUUGAUUCAUUUCAACUCAACAAACAUUUAUUAAGUAUCUACAGUGUGUUUGGUGCAGCAGAUACGAAGACAAAAUAGUCACCCAAAGAGAGUUUAGAUUUUUCUGGAGGUAUUACUUUGACAUAAUGGGGAUCAGUGGAUAACUUAUUAGUUGCUGAAAGCAAUCCAGCUCACUGUUUCCUUCUUGAGAAAACAACAUUUCAAGAAAAAAAAACUUAAUAAGUGUCCUAAAUUCCUGGUAUGAUUAAAAAAACUAGCAGUCUGUUCCUGGAAUCCUCUUUAGUCAUGAGCAGUUCUGUUGUUAUCUUAUUGCCUCACUGGCUCUCUAAAAGAAUCAGGCUUUCCCUUCUUUAUUCUGUCUCUUUUCCAUAUCUUGGAGGCCAUACUGUCUUCUGUACUGAGUUCCCUAGAAACUAGAAACAUUUGCAUUGUUUGUUUUAACCUCUUGUGCAAUCCUUCCUGCUGUUGGAAAAGUUCUGAUUCAGUCUGUAAUAGCCAUAAUAAAUAAGGUUAAUAUUGCAUCA